rnacentral:lncRNA from 1 species
AUUACACCUGAAAUUCUUUUCUAUCAUCAAUCACUGUAACCUCACCAUAGCUGUAGAAGAUACCUGAAUCCAAAUCUAUGAAAAAAGUGUAUCUCUCCCUCAUCUGCUAAAAAGAAAAUUGUUACACAAACGUGGAAAAUAUGGUUGCCUAUUGUCAGGCCUCUGAGCCCAAGCCAAGCCAUUGCAUCCCCUGUGACUUGCACGUAUAUGCCCAGAUGGCCUGAAGUAACUGAAGAAUCACAAAAGAAGUGAAUAUGCUCUGCCCCACCUUAACUGAUGACAUUCCACCACAAAAGAAGUGUAAAUGGCUGGUCCUUGCCUUAAGUGAUGACAUUACCUUGUGAAAGUCCUUUUCCUGGCUCAUCCUGGCUCAAAAACACCCCCACUGAGCACCUUGCAACCCCUACUCCUGCCCACCAGAGAACAAACCCUCUUUGACUGUAAUCUUCCUUUACCUACCCAAAUCCUAUAAAAUGGCCCCACCCUUAUAUCCCUUCCCUGACUCUCUUUUCGAACUCAGCCCGCCUGCACCCAGGUGAAAUAAACAGCCAUGUUGUUCACACAAAGCCUGUUUGGUGGUCUCUUCACACAGACGCGCAUGAAAUUUGGUGCCAUGACUCGGAUCGGGGGACCUCCCUUGGGAGAUCAAUCCCCUGUCCUCCUGUUCUUUGCUCCAUGAGAAAGAUCCACCUAUAACCUCAGGUCCUCAGACCGACCAGCCCAAGGAACAUCUCACCAAUUUCAAAUCCAGUAAGCGGCCUCUUUUUACUCUCUUCUCCAACCUCCCUCACUAUCCCUCAACCUCUUUCUCCUUUCAAUCUUGGCACUACACUUCAAUCUCUCCCUUCUCUUAAUUUCAAUUCCUUUCAUUUUCUGGUAGAGACAAAGGAGACAUGUUUUAUCCGUGGACCCAAAACUCCGGUGCCGGUCACGGACUGGGAAGGCAGCCUUCCCUUGGUGUUUAAUCACUGCAGGGACACCUCUGUGAUUAUUCACCCACGUUUCAAAGGUGUCAGACCACGCAGGGACGCCUGCCUUGGUCCUUCACCCUUAGCGGCAAGUCCUGCUUUUCUGGGGAAGGGGCAAGUACCCCAACCCCUUCUCUCCUUGUCUCUACCCCUUCUCUGCUUUUCUGGGAGAGGGGCAAGUACCCCUCAACCCCUUCUCCUUCACCCUUAGUGGCAAGUCCCGCUUUUCUACAGGGCAAGAACCCCCAAUCCCUUAUUUCCAUGCCCCAACCUCUUAUCUCUGUGCCCCAACCCCUUUUCCCACUUUUCUGGAAGGUAAGAACCCCCAAACCCCUUCCCUCCAUUUCUCUACUCUGUCUUUUCUCUAGGCUUGCUUCCUUCACUAUGGGCAACUUUCCACCCUCCAUUCCUCCUUCUACUCCCUUGGCCUGUGUUUUCAAAAACUUAAAACCUCUUCAACUCACACCUGACCUAAAACCUAAAUGCCUUAUUUUCUUCUGCAAUGCCGCUUGACCCCAAUACAAACUCAACAGUAGUUCCAAAUAGCCGGAAAACGGCACUUUCAAUUUUUCCAUCCUACAAGAUCUAAAUAAUUCUUAUCAUAAAAUGGGCAAAUGGUCUGAAGUGCCUGACAUCCAGGCAUUCUUUUACACAUCAGUCCCUUCCUGGUCUCUGUGCCCAGUGCAACUUGUCCCAAAUCUUCCUUCUUUCCCUCCCACCUGUCCCCUCAGUCCCAACCCCAAGCAUUGCUGAGUCUUUCUAAUCUUCCUUUUCUACAGACCCAUCUGACCUCUCCCCUCCUCGCCAGGCCGAGCUAGGUCCCAAU